rnacentral:rRNA from 1 species
CCGGAUUUAUUGGGCGUAAAGCGAGCGCAGGCGGUUUGAUAAGUCUGAAGUUAAAGGCUGUGGCUCAACCAUAGUUCGCUUUGGAAACUGUCAAACUUGAGUGCAGAAGGGGAGAGUGGAAUUCCAUGUGUAGCGGUGAAAUGCGUAGAUAUAUGGAGGAACACCGGUGGCGAAAGCGGCUCUCUGGUCUGUAACUGACGCUGAGGCUCGAAAGCGUGGGGAGCGAACAGGAUUAGAUACCCUGGUAGUCCACGCCGUAAACGAUGAGUGCUAGGUGUUGGAUCCUUUCCGGGAUUCAGUGCCGCAGCUAACGCAUUAAGCACUCCGCCUGGGGAGUACGACCGCAAGGUUGAAACUCAAAGGAAUUGACGGGGGCCCGCACAAGCGGUGGAGCAUGUGGUUUAAUUCGAAGCAACGCGAAGAACCUUACCAGGUCUUGACAUCCCGAUGCUAUUUCUAGAGAUAGAAAGUUACUUCGGUACAUCGGUGACAGGUGGUGCAUGGUUGUCGUCAGCUCGUGUCGUGA